AGUGAACGCUGGCGGUAGGCCUAACACAUGCAAGUCGAACGGCAGCACAGGAGAGCUUGCUCUCUGGGUGGCGAGUGGCGGACGGGUGAGGAAUACAUCGGAAUCUACUCUGUCGGGGGGGAUAACGUAGGGAAACUUACGCUAAUACCGCAUACGACCUACGGGUGAAAGCAGGGGACCUUCCGGCCUUGCGCGAUUGAAUGAGCCGAUGUCGGAUUAGCUAGUUGGCGGGGUAAAGGCCCACCAAGGCGACGAUCCGUAGCUGGUCUGAGAGGAUGAUCAGCCACACUGGAACUGAGACACGGUCCAGACUCCUACGGGAGGCAGCAGUGGGGAAUAUUGGACAAUGGGCGCAAGCCUGAUCCAGCCAUACCGCGUGGGUGAAGAAGGCCUUCGGGUUGUAAAGCCCUUUUGUUGGGAAAGAAAUCCAGCUGGCUAAUACCCGGUUGGGAUGACGGUACCCAAAGAAUAAGCACCGGCUAACUUCUUGCCAGCCGCCGCCGUAA
rnacentral:rRNA from 1 species